GUGCCCAUAGUUCAGUGGUAGAACGUCGGUUUGUGGUACCGAAGGUCGAGGGUUCGAUACCCUCUGGGCACCCCC
rnacentral:tRNA from 1 species